GGGUCAUUAGCUCAGUUGGUAGAGCACUGGACUCUUAAUCCAUUGGUCGACAGUUCGAGUCUGUCACGACCCACCA
rnacentral:tRNA from 1 species